rnacentral:rRNA from 1 species
UUUUGGACAAUGGGGGCAACCCUGAUCCAGCAAUGCUGCGUGAGUGAAGAAGGCCUUCGGGUUGUAAAGCACUUUCAGCGACGAGGAAGGGUUCAGUGUUAAUAGCACUGUGCAUUGACGUUACUCGCAGAAGAAGCACCGGCUAACUCCGUGCCAGCAGCUGCGGUAAUACGGAGGGUGCAAGCGUUAAUCGGAAUUACUGGGCGUAAAGCGCACGCAGGCGGUUUGUUAAGUCAGAUGUGAAAUCCCCGCGCUUAACGUGGGAACUCCCUUUGAAACUGGCAAGCUAGAGUCUUGUAGAGGGGGGUAGAAUUCCAGGUGUAGCGGUGAAAUGCGUAGAGAUUUGGAGGAAUACCGGUGGCGAAGGCGGCCCCCUGACAAAGACUGACGUCAGGUGCGAAA